UGGGGAAUAUUGGACAAUGGGCGCAAGCCUGAUCCAGCCAUGCCGCGUGUGUGAAGAAGGCCUUUUGGUUGUAAAGCACUUUAAGCGAGGAGGAGGCUACUUGGAUUAAUACUCUAGGAUAGUGGACGUUAUUCGCAGAAUAAGCACCGGCUAACUCUGUGCCAGCAGCCGCGGUAAUACAGAGGGUGCGAGAGGUAAUCGUAUUUACUGGGCGUAAAGCGUGCGUAGGCGGCUUCUUCAGUCGGAUGUGAAAUCCCUGAGCUUAACUUAGGAAUUGCAUUCGAUACUGGGAAGCUAGAGUAUGGGAGAGGAUGGUAGAAUUCCAGGUGUAGCGGUGAAAUGCGUAGAGAUCUGGAGGAAUACCGAUGGCGAAGGCAGCCAUCUGGCCUAAUACUGACGCUGAGGUACGAAAGCAUGGGGAGCAAACAGG
rnacentral:rRNA from 1 species